rnacentral:piRNA from 1 species
UGGAAAUGNGCAACUUGCCUUUAGCUCCUCA